rnacentral:rRNA from 1 species
AAUAAUACGAUAGGAUUUGAAUUGUUGGUAAAGUAAAAGAAUUGCCUUUGAUGAUGAAGUAUUGUGAUAAAAUAUUCUGUCUUAUAUUGAUAACCGUGAGGGUGUGUAGAAAAUUGAGAGAAAGAAUGUGUUGUUACAGUACCUUUUGUAUCAGGGACUUAGGAAUGAGUAACAGUUUAUACAAAUAUCCCGAAAAGAAAAGAAUCCUCUAUAUUAAAGAUUAUUGUUUAAUUAAUAUCUUCAAAUUAUAAAGAGUGGUGAAAUGUCAUACGAUUUUCUAGUUAUCUGGUUGUCUAAAAUAUUACCUUUAGGGUAAGUUAAUCUGAUAGUUUAGCGAUAUUAACUUGAUGUUUUAAGGGAUAAGCUUUAAAAUUAUAUUGGGUUAAAUAUAAACAAUAGUUGUAUAAAACACGUAAAUUGGAUUUAUCAAAUGUAACCAAAACAGUUAGACUAUGAGGAGAAUUGAAGAAUCUUUAAUGAAAAUCUAAGUAUUAGUAAAUAAUAACAACUUAAAUCAAAGGAACUCGGCAAACAAUUAGUCUGACUGUUUACUAAAAACAUUGCCUUUAGAAAUAAAUUGAAGGUAAGACCUGCUCACUGCGUUGAUAACGUAAAUAGCUGCAGUAUUCUGACUGUGCUAAGGUAGCAUAAUAACUUGUUUCUUAAUUGGAAUCUAGAAUGAACGGUUCUACAAGACUAAGUCUGUCUCUGUGAAGUAAAAUUGAAUUUUAAUUUUAAGUGAAAAUGCUUAAAUGCGUUAGAAGGACGAGAAGACCCUAUAGAUUUUUAUGGUUAAUAUUCAAUAAAGGUUGAUUUUAGCAAUUUACCUGGGAAGGGGUCUACACACAUUAAGCUAUGUUUAAUAAAACUAAAAUGAUAGGAAUUUUAAUGAUGAUCCUCAAGUUGUGAAAAGAAGAUAAAUUACCUUAGGGAUAACAGCACAAUUGUCUUUCCUAGAUCUAAUUGGAUGAUACAGAUUGUGACCUCGAUGUUGAAUUAAGUUAUCAUUUAGAUGAAGAAGGUUAAAUGGUUAGUCUGUUCGACUAUUAAAAACUUACAUGAUUUGAGUUUAGACCGACGUGAGUCAGGUCAGAUUCUAUCCUCUGAAAUGAGUUUACUCUUUUAGUACGAAAGGAUUGAAGUGUACAUACAUUGUAUGUU